UCUCCGGUGGCCUAGUGGUUAGGGUGUCCGCCUGGGAUGCCGGAGAUCGUGGGUUCGAAUCAUGGCCGAUUCGUAACA